UUGAAUUUUGUGGGCUGUGUUUUGAUUGUGUAGACCGUAUCCAAGAUUCUUAGCUUUGAUACUGUAUCCAGGUUCAGAAUGUGCAUUCAAGCAUGAUUUUAUAUAGCCAUACCCUAUUCCUGAAAUUGACAUAGAUUUAUGACAUAUUCUUUAGAACAGGUAACUUAAAACAUACCCUAUUCUUAAGAUUGAUAUAGAUUUAUGAUAUAUUCUUUAAAACAGGUAACUUAGAAAUAACUGAUAAACAUGCGAAUGUUACUUAGCAUUGCUUAGAUAGAUAAUUUGUGUUAGAAUAGGUGUGGAAUAUGCUAAUGGUUGUCAAGAAUUGUAAUGCAUAUGUAUGUGAUCAAAUUGUAUAAAUAUGGUGUAAACUGAAUCAGUGGCUGAAGCCAGCUUUGGGUGCGAACCCCUGGUUUCCCAGCGCUGAAAUAAAGCACCGCAUAUAACUGCACCUGUGGUUAUGUGUCUUGAAUGCUAACAUUUUUGGCGACCCAGAUGAGACCUCGCGAGCAUUGCUGAGGCGGAUCGCGUCUUGAUCCUGCUCCAGCUAGCACCGAGGUAUUCUUGGGGAGCGCAUCGGACGCGACCGACCCUCUGCUGCUCACGACGGACCUCUGACUGGUAAGAAGGUGCUUUAUCUGGAUUGUUGGGUACCCACUUGGUCUGGUUCUGGUCUGGUAGCCUGCUGGUCAGGCAUCUGGUAGCCUGCCGGUCAGACGCGGCGAAAGCCACGCUCGGUUAGGCAGGGAGCUCCCGUGGUAUUGCCUAGGCAGCCGUCCGUCAGACAGAGGGAAACCUCUGCAGGUUCGGCAUCUGGUCUGGUUAUUUGUGCCGCAGGCUCGGCACCUGGUCUGGUUAUUUGUGCCGCAGGCUCGGCACCUGGUCUGGUUAUUUGUGCUACUCAGCACCUGGUCUGUAGUUCUGGUGAUUUAAUCUGUAUUUACUGUUGAAACCGGUGAUUUGAUCCUGUUUACUGUUGUUCUGGUAAAGUUACUGUGUUAUCUUUCUGUGUUAGUUAUCUGUAUCCUUCUCUGUUGAUAUGUCCAAUUCAAACGUAUCGCCGUCAAAUUGCUUUCUGAAACAUUAGAAGAAGGCUGGGUUUGGACAGUUUAUGCAUAAAAGAAGUGUGAUUGUGAUCUGUUUUCAUAUUUGAACUCGGUAUUCGGUUUGCAUGUCUGAGCUCAGUAUUUUAGUUUGUAUGUUUGUAUUUGGUACCAAAAGGAUUUGUUUGGGGAAAUAAUUACAAAAUAAGAACCGUUUCUGUUACUAAAGUGCCACCUUGCUCCCCCUUCAGAUGCAUCUUUACACAUGAAAGUAAAUUGAGUUAGCUGUAUUGCAGUUAGUGUUGUUUUGUGGAUAGACUGAUUUGGAUUUGGAUCUAAAAUUAAUGUCAGGGAUUGAUGUUUAGUAUGCUGUUUAUUGACAUCUGUAAGAAGUUACAAAAGGCAGGAGCUGAGGGAUGUAACUAUUGUUCAGCUAAUUGGAAUUACAUAUAAAGUUUAUAAUCACAGGAAUUAAAUGAAGAGAGAAAAAGGGCAAAAGGAGCCCAAACCUGUGCCCGGCAGCUUCUCCUUGAUAAGCUGCAGAGAGAAGAAAAAAAAAAAAAAAAAAAAAAAAAAAAAAGAAAAAAAAAAAGGUGAAAAGCUGACUGUCUGCUAAAGCGGUGGGAAAGGGGGGGGGAGCGGCGGCUGCUAAGGCUGAAGCUGCAGCUCCUCUCCUCCGGGCUCGCCGCCCGCGGGGGAUCAUCAAACGUAAUAGCACCCCUGCGGCAGGCAGUAGGUGUUGGGGGGGGGAACCAGUCUAUGUAAAAGUCCCGUUUUCGCCGGGGGAUUUAGUGAUCUGGAAGCAAAAGUGACUAAGGUUGCAAAAGUGAUUAAGAUGAUAAUUAAGACGCAGAAUCCUGAUUGGGAUAAUUUACAAGUCAUUUUAGAUACAUUAAUGGACUCUACAGAAAAUAUGUGGUUAUACAGGUUGCGAGGGAUAAGGUGAGAGAAGAUAUUUGGAAUGGGAAAGUAGAGGCUAACGUUGAUGAGAACUUUCCAAAAGAAGAUCCCCGAUAAUACAGGAGAUACAGACAAUACAGGAGGCGGGUUAAGCCGUCUCCGGAAGUAUCAGGAUUGGUUAUUGAUUGUUGUUCAAACUGCUAUGCCGAAGCAAAUGAAUUGGUCGAAAUUGUAUAAUGUAAGGCAGGAAAGGAAUGAGUCUCCCUCAGCCUUUUUAGAAAGAUUAAAAGAAGCUGCCAAAAGAUAUACGGAUUUAGACGUAGAAACGGAACAAGCAAAAAUUCAGUUGGCUCUAAUUUUCUUAGGGCAAUCUCAAGAUGAUAUUCGAAAGAAGCUGCAGAAAUUAGAGGGUGCACAAUUAAGGGAUCUGGACGUAAUGUUGGAAACAGCUUGGAAAGUUUAUAAUAAUAGAGAAAAAGAACAAUCGAGACGCCACCAGCAAAAUUUGUUGGCUUUGAUCCAGGGACAAGGCAGGGGAAUAGGGGUCCGGGGUAGGGGAGCUGGAAAUAGUCGAGGAGGUGGUCGGGGACGUGGUUCGUGGAGUGCCCGAGGAACUCCCCUGAGACCCCUCAUGAGGCUUGGUAUAAAUCAAUGUGCUUAUUGUAAGCAAGAAGGACACUGGAACAAUGAAUGCCCGGCUAGGAGCCCCGUGGGUCAGAUGUCCGAUGCGACGGGAAAUGCGGUACAGACUAUGGUGUUAGGGGAAUACAGUAACAACAGCUGACUAUAUGAAGGCACGGAAGUGAAAACCCAGAAUAAGGAGCCCUUAGUGACAAUACAAGUGGGAGACCGGGAUGUAAGAUUUUUAGUAGAUACGGGGGCUACUUACUCUGUAUUAAAUUCCUUACAGGGGGCGGUAGGUCACAGAGCUACAACAAUUGUUGGUGCCACAGGGAAGGAGGAAGUACGGCCAUUCCUGCAACCUUUGGAUUUGUGUUUUGGAGAAAAGGAGCUAACCCACGAGUUCUUAUAUGUUCCAGAUUGUCCAGUUUCUCUUUUAGGACGAGAUUUGCUGACCAAAUUAGAUGCCACAAUAACAUUUGAGGAUGGAAAUUUGGUAAUGAAAGUUCCGGAGUCAAAGGUAGGACAAAUUUUACUAUUAAAGGAAAAUCCAAUUGUGAAAAUACCACAGGCAAUAGAGGAUGCAGUGAUUCCCACGGUAUGGGAAACUGACAUACCUGGGAAGUCAAAGGCAGCUAAACCUGUGAAAGUAGAGCUGAAGGAAGGUGCUGAACCGGUACGAUUAAGACAGUACCCAUUGAAAUUGGAAGCCAGAUUAGGAAUAGUAUCUUUAAUUGAGAAAUUUUUGAAAUAUGGAAUUCUAGAAGAAUGUGAAUCAGAAUACAAUACUCCAAUUUUUCCAGUAAAGAAACCUGAUGGUAGCUAUCGACUAGUCCAAGACUUAUGAGCAAUAAACCAGAUCACUAAGGACAUACAUCCAGUAGCUGCAAAUCCGUAUACCUUGUUAACAUCUGUGAAAGAGAAAUAUAAAUGGUUUACAGUACUUGAUUUAAAAGAUGCCUUCUUCUGCAUACCCCUUGACCAGGAAAGCAAAAGCUAUUCGCUUUUGAAUGGGAGAACACACACAACGGGAGAAAAGCCCAAUUAACCUGGACACGCCUUCCACAAGGAUUUAAGAAUAGUCCAACUAUCUUCGGAAAUCAACUAGCCAAAGAACCUGAGGAGUGGGCUACGAGAGGCUAUAUCGGAAUUCCUCGACAAUGGUAUUUGUUGCUGCAAUAUGUGGAUGAUAUUCUGAUUGCUGCUGAGACCCAAGAACUUUGCAUUCAGGAAUGGCAGGAUGGUGCAGGCUCUGGAUCAUGGACUAUGGACUUAUUGCCAAACCUUUAUACGAGGCACAGAAGAAUAAGACCUUGGUGUGGGAAAGACCACAACAAGAAGCUUUCCAAAAAUUGAAACAGGCCUUAAUGCAAGCGCCUGCUUUGGGCCUACCUGACCUGAGUAAAGACUUUCAGUUGUUUGUACAUGAAUGACAGAGACUUGCUCUAGGGGUAUUAACCCAACGGCUGGGAUCUUGGAAAAGGCCCGUCAGUUAUUUCUCUAAACAACUUGACCCGGUAAGUGCUGGAUGGCCGGCGUGCUUGCGGGCGGUGGCUGCUACCGUGACAUUAAUUCAGGAAGUCCGGAAACUGACUAUGGGGAAAAGGAUCGAAGUGUUUGUAUCCCAUAUGGUGACUACUGUAUUGGAACAAAAGGGGGGCCAUUGGCUUUCCCCAAGUAGGAUGAUGAAAUAUCAGGCAAUUUUAACAGAGCAGGAUGAUGUUAUCCUAAAAACAACUAACCUAAUGAAUCCAGCUGUGUUUUUAAGCGCAGAGACUGAAGAAGAAAAUCUGGAACAUAAUUGUGUGGAGGUCAUUGAAUAUACCCACGCAAGUCGACCUGACCUGAAAGAUACCCCAUUGGAGAAGACGGAUUGGGAGCUUUUUACUGACGGCAGUAGUUUUGUGGAAAGCGGAGUGCGGUAUGCAGGAUACGCGAUUACUACUGCCAAAACAGUAAUUGAAGCUAAAUCCCUACCACCAAACACAUCAGCACAGAAAGCUGAGUUGAUAGCCCUAACUAGGGCAUUAGAGCUCAGUGAGGACAAAAGGGUCAAUGUUUGGACUGACUCAAAAUAUGCAUUCAGGGUUGUUCAUGUACAUGGAGCUCUUUGGAAAGAGCGUGGACUACUCUCCUCCCAAGGAACAAACAUCAAGUACCAAAAAGAAAUAUUGAACUUGAUUAAUGCCGUUCAAAAGCCAUCACUAGUUGCCAUCAUGCACUGUAAAGCUCAUCAGAGUGGGACAUCAACAAUUAUUGAAGGAAACCGACUUGCUGAUCAAACAGCCUGAUCAGUGGCACGACGAGUCUGGAUGAUGGUGGGUCAUGUCUCCCAAAAGGUAAGAGCAAUUGAUUUAUUACCUACACCUUCAGAGGCACCUGAAUAUUCUACAGAAGAUGAGAAAUUGGCAAGACUAGUAAAAGCCGUCAAGGAUAAUUCUGGAUGGUAUGUAACCACCAACGGACAAAUUGUGGUCCCGAUCACAAUUAUGAGAGGGAUACUUCAGGCGGAGCACCAGAAGUGUCAUUGGGGUGCAGAAGCAUUGGUAACUUAUCUAAGAAAACAAAUUAUCUCGGUCCAGAUGUUAACAAUGGCAAAAUCUUUCACAGCUAAGUGUGAAAUUUGCUUGAGAAAUAAGCCUUUAGUUCGAAGAAAAGUAGAUAUGGGAAAAAUUAGGACAGGUGUACAACCAGGGGAUUGUUGGCAGAUAGAUUAUGUGGAACUCCCCAAAACUCGAGGAUUCAGAUAUCUGCUAGUUGAGGUAUGCACCUUUUCAGGAUGGCCAGAAGCCUUCCCUUGUCGCACCAACCAGGCACAAGAAACUGUAAAAUGGUUACUGAAGGAAAUAAUUCCUAGAUUUGGAGUACCAUUGGGAAUAUCAUCUGAUAGGGGACCGCAUUUUGUUGCUCAAGUGGUAAAGGAAGUCAGUAGAUGUUUGGGAAUUAAAUGGGAAUUACAUACCCCAUGGAGACCCCAGUCUAGUGGCCAGGUGGAGAAAAUGAAUCAGACGUUAAAACGACAACUUAGCAAAAUUUGCCAGGAAGCAAAAAUUCAGUGGCCCCAGGCCUUACCAAUAGCGUUAUUGCGAAUUAGGAUUAAACCUAGGAGUGGAAUGUCCGUAAGCCCAUACGAAAUUCUGUAUGGCAGACCAUAUGAAGCACCUGAUCCGAAUCCAAGUGUACAUGUAAAAGGUAAUCAGGAUGUGUACAAUUAUGUGUUGUCUCUCGGCAGGACAUUGAAUCGACUCAGAUCUGUACUAGUGUGGAAUCGCCCACUAGCACUUGAGAAUCCGGUACAUGAUAUAGAACCUGGAGACACAGUGUAUAUAAAGACUUGGAGAGAAGAUCCUUUAAAAGAACGUUGGGACGGACCUUAUCAAGUACUUUUAACUACAUUUACCGCAAUCAAGGUUGCUGAAAUAGACUCCUGGAUACAUUACACCCGAGUGAAGAAAGUCCCAAAACUGUGGCAAUCACGAUUAGUGGGUCCAACCACACUUAAAAUCACAACGCAGGAUGUCUAACUUUUGUUACCGUUUUGUUUUUAUAGUAGUUUAUGUACCCAGACUGUAUGCCACACUGAUUUGCAAAGUCACUGGAGAACAAUUAUGUAAAACACGAAGGGCUAUAGGAGAUAGUGACGAUACUCAAAUGCCACAAGUAGUACAGAGUGUACAGAAUCAGGCAGAGAAUCUGAUGAUAGGACUAAUUCGAGAUUUUGCACAAACCCAAAAUGUCAGUAGCAUCACUGCUUGUCUUCCCAUCCCGAAAUCAGCUGAAGAUCCGGUACAGUGGGGAAUAAUAUCUACGACCUUACCAGAAGUAAAUAAGACUGGUAAGAUAGUGUGUGAGUCCCAUACUAAAAUAGAGCAAGUACCAAUUGAACAACGGACAAAAGAGCUUGUUAAGAAUGCCAUGAUAAAAAGAGGUGACUGCUUAAAGUUGCCAGGAGCAGAAUUUGUAAAGAUAUGAUGAUUUCAUAAUAUUGGGUAUUGCACGUAUGAAAAGUGGACCACCAAAACAGUAUAUGAAAAGGUUGAGCGAGCCUAUUGGGAAUGUAAAGAUCAGGAUAAUCAGAACAUAACUGAAUCAUGGGAUAACAUGUGGACGUUGAGUAUAGUACAGCAAUAUCAAUAUAGCGAAGCAUUUCCAUGGUGUAUACGAUUGACCAAUGUAACAAGAGGAGUAACAGUACCGUGGUGGAAUUGCUCUCAAGUAAUGACCUGCCAGACAGAUGUGAAAGAAAUACCUCUGUCCAUCAUUAAAGUUGCAGUAAUCGCAGGUUGCAUUUGUCAGAAACAAUUGGAUCCAAAGGAAGCAAUCAAAAUAGGCAUUGAUGGAGAUAAGAUAGAUUGUAGAGGAACUAUAGGUAGUGUGGGACAUUUGGUUUGGGCCUUAAGUGAUGGAACCUGGACAACACAUUUACCGAUAGCAGGACCAGUAAGGGAGGUUACUUUGGGGUUACCAACCCUAUGUCCCAUUUGGAAAAGGUCACCCUUGAAGAAUAGGCAAGAACUCCUACAAGUUAGGUACAAACGAGAGAUAGAUGAAGAUGAUGUGUGGCAUGAACCAUUGGGUAGUGUUAAAUUCGGCUGGGCAUUAGAAUCUUUCUUUGCACCAAUCGCAGCCUAUAGAAACAGAGAAAUGAUUGACAGAUUAAUUGGACAGAUGGAUCGAUUGGCAAGGGUAACCAAAAAGGGUUUUCGAGAAUUCAAUAUACAAUUGCAAGCUACGACCAAAAUGACUUUGCAGAACAGAAUGGCACUUGACAUAAUGUUGCUAAAAGAAAAUGGGGUUUGUGGAUAUUUAAAAGAUAGGGUUGAUCAUUGCUGCAUUCAUAUCCCAAACGUAACCUCUGAAGUGGAAAAAGAUAUUUCCCAAUUAACCCAAACAGAAAAAGAACUGCAAGCGGAAAAACAAGAUGUAGAGCAGAGCUGGGUUGGGGCCUUGCUAGGCAAAUUGAACCUGAACCUGGGAGGAUGGGUACAUUAGUUAUUGGAGAGUUUAUUUUUGCUUGCCAUUAUAGUUGCUCUUUUCUUUUUGCUUUAUGCUUGUAUUAAGCAUCAAAUAAGUCAAUCAAAGGCAAGGAACGACCGCAUCUUUACUGUCCUUAGCAGAUCCACUUUUGACAACCCUCCAGCUUAUAAGGAAAAUAUAAUGUAGUGAAAAUGCAUUGUCUAGGAAUAGAAAAGCAUUUUCAAAGGGGGGAAAUGUUAUAGUUGAAUUGAAUUUUGUGGGCUGUGUUUUGAUUGUGUAGACCGUAUCCAAGAUUCUUAGCUUUGAUACUGUAUCCAGGUUCAGAAUGUGCAUUCAAGCAUGAUUUUAUAUAACCAUACCCUAUUCCUGAAAUUGACAUAGAUUUAUGACAUAUUCUUUAGAACAGGUAACUUAAAACAUACCCUAUUCUUAAGAUUGAUAUAGAUUUAUGAUAUAUUCUUUAAAACAGGUAACUUAGAAAUAACUGAUAAACAUGCGAAUGUUACUUAGCAUUGCUUAGAUAGAUAAUUUGUGUUAGAAUAGGUGUGGAAUAUGCUAAUGGUUGUCAAGAAUUGUAAUGCAUAUGUAUGUGAUCAAAUUGUAUAAAUAUGGUGUAAACUGAAUCAGUGGCUGAAGCCAGCUUUGGGUGCGAACCCCUGGUUUCCCAGCGCUGAAAUAAAGCACCGCAUAUAACUGCACCUGUGGUUAUGUGUCUUGAAUGCUAACAAGGUAAGUGGGAAGCUUUGUCUGCUCAGAGCAGGAGAUUGGUCCAGGUGACCUCCUCAGGUCCCUUCUAACUAUCAUUAUUUGGAAGAGCAUGGAGUCUCAAGAGCCCUUGAGCAGCAAACGAAUGGAAAUGCCUUGAAAAUGGCAGCAACACAGGGCUGCAUAGAAGUACCAGCUGAUGCAGGAAUGAUGUUAAAAGGUGUGGAAAUUUCUUUGAGGAAAGCAGAACUUUCAGAGGAAUGAAGCUAUGACUCUGGUAUCUCUGACAUGCCUGAGGCUGGGGCACUUUGCCCACUGGAAUCCACAGCAUGAUGACUCACAUUUCCCUGGAGCUCAGGGUUUUUCCCAACUCUUUCACAUCAUGAUGACUCCCAGGUGCCCUGUGAGACUGAUCCAAUGUCCCUUUGUAGUCUGAAAUGUAUGGAAUGGGUCACCCUAUCUGUCACCAAGAAAAAAGGCCAUGAGUUUUUGGUUCCUUGCCCUUCGUCUCUCCUUAAAAUCAGGCCAUGCAGGCCUCUAGCCUCCGGGAUGAAAUUACUGAGCAAAACAGGUCAAUUUGGAUGUGCAUCUCUUUCAGAGGUGAAUGCGGGCAUGUCUUUGAGCAUCCUCUUAUGCGCUGAUAUGCUUGUUUCCAGCAGGUUCUCCACUUCUGAAGCUCAACCCAGACCCCUGGUUGGAAGAAACAUGAGGGCCUGGGCCAGUCAUCAGGGGGCAUAGCUGUGAAGAUCCCAUGGAGAGGUUACUUGAAAGAGACUUGCCUCACCCCUUCGUCUGCCCUUCAUCAUUAUGAAUCUGCCUUUGUUCCCUGGGCUCAUGGGAAGAAUAAACAGGCUGUGGCAGAGCCUGAUAAGCAUAUUUGAGGACCUUGUGGUCCUCAGUCCUGAUUGCAAGUGACUUCCCUCCAGCCCACAACGAUCCUUCUCUGCCACUGAGCUUUGCCACAUCCCUGGAGAAGUGGGUCUAUGCAGACUUGAACCUUCCUGCUCUCUCCUGUGUGUCUAUGGUGACCCACUGAAGAAAGUAUCACACUCACAAGGCCCUCAUCCUGAUAGAGAACUUCAACCACCCAGAUAUCUGGUGCCAAAGCAGCACAGCAAACUGCAAGCAGUCCAGGAAACUACUCAAUCUAUUGAGGACAACUUAUUGUUACCAAUGAUGGAGAGUUCAUCCAGAGGAGAGGCACUGCUUGACACAUUCUGGGGAGAUUAUACGGAAAAAGCCCAGAACUGCAAGGAGGGGAUCAGGAAACCAAGGACACUAUCUUCAUGAGGGACAUGAAAAAUUACAAAAUGGGUUUCUUCAGGUACAUAGGACAACAAGGGUAGAUGAAAGAUACUGUACUCUCCUGAUGAGUGAAAGGGGAUACCUGGCUAUAUCUGACAUGGAGAUGACAUGGAGUGGAGGCGCUAAACAACUUUUUCACUCCAUCUUAACCACACAUGCUUUAGUCAUGAUACAUAGUUCAAAGAAUGCAAAGGCAUGGGCUGCAAGAAUGAAGUAUCAAUAAUAGCAAUAACUGAAAUGAAAAAAUAAAUAUUUUUUAAUAACCACAUAAGAACAAACAAAAACUGAAGAAACAAACCAAACACACAAAAAAACCACCAUACCAAAUCCACAUUUCAGCAUCAGUGGAUAAUAGAAGAGUGUUCGAGGUCAUCUACUUGUCUGGAACAUUUAUUACUGUUCCACACAGCAUCCUUGAUUCUAUAAUGGAGAGGCAUGGAUUUGACAGGUGGACCACUCGUUAUAUAAGGACUUGUCUGGAUGGUCACACUCAAAGAGUUGCCGUCAAUGUCUAGAAGUCCAGGUGGAGACCCGUGAUGAGUUGUGUCACUCAGGGGUUUGUAUUGGUACUUGUAUUAUUCAACAUAUUUGUCGGGGACAUGGACAGUGAGAUCCACAGUGAGUUUCAUGAUGAAACCAAGUUGAGUGAUGUGCUUGGUACACCGGAGAAAAGGGAUGUGAUCCAGAGGGAUGUUGAAAGAAUAGAGAGAAGGGUUGUGUAACUGACAUAAAAUUCAAGAAGGCCAAGUGUAAGGUCCUGCACCUGGGUAAGUGGAAUUAAAAAAAAACGAGUACAAGCUGAUCCAUGAUGGGAUAGAGAGCAGCCAUAUGGAGUAAGAAAUUUCAGGUAAAGAGGUAAGGGCAUCAUCACCACAAAAACUUUGGAAUGCAAUAACUACUAGGUGAUCAGAUGCUUCAUGAGUAAGGAAUGUUUGUGGCCCCACGGGGCUCUGAGACACAGCACAAGAGCCUGGGCUGCUCCAGGCUCUGCAUCCUCCUCUCUUGCCUCCCUUUACUCCAGGAACGAGGUAAGCCUCUGUGCAGUCCAUCUCUCGCCAUGGGCUGAACUGCUGUCAUGGUGGCUACUCAGGUGGAUCCUUGGGCUUCCUCAAUGUGCACAGAAACAGAACUGUUGAAGGGCUGUCACCUCUUUCCCUUUUGAUGGGACUUUCUGGGGAGAGCUGGAAAGAGGGGGAUUCUUUCAAGCACAAGAGGAUGAAUGGGGCUCAGCUGCAGGGAGGUCUGUUUAGCAAAAUUUCUGCUUUAGACAGAUGGUCUCUAACCAAAUGGACAAGUGCAUCCAGUGCCUCCUUCCAUGCUCUCCACAGGCUCUCCACAGGGGCUUUAAAUCCACUCAGCUGGGUCCUGUCUCAAAAGUGGUUCUGGACCAUGCAACUCAGAGAGCACAGUGAGGGCCAUGGCAGCUCUGUGCACACUGUGUGUUCUCAAGAGCUGAUUUCUGAGACACUUGUUCCACGCAGCCUAUUUGUGCUGGAAUAGUUGCAUCAAUCUUCAUCUGGGCUUUUGCACUGGGUAAUGUAUGAGGAGGUCCUUGUGACAUCAACAAUCAGUUAGGCACUUCUUUGGUCCUAGGCAUUCAAAUCUAGCUCUAAGCUGAGAUGUCACACCUGUUGUACCUGUCAGCAAGAUCAAUUUCAGGCCCUUCCUAGUCAUGGACCUCCAAAUGGAGAUGGAAGCCAAUAAAGUGUAUCUGCAGAGAGAAAUGAGGACAAGAAAGACAGACUGAAGUUGGGGUUCUUUGUUGCCUCUAUGCUCUGUGUUUCAGCUUUACCUCAGUCACCGAGAGAUGUCUUGCUUCAGACCGUGUAUCCCACCACCUUGUGGUUCCUCUGGCCCAACCCCACUUGCAAGCAGCUGCAGUGAGCCCUGUGUCGCCCGCUGUGGUGACUCGACGGUGGCCAUUGAGGCCUCUCCAGUGGUGGUGACCCUGCCAGGCCCCAUCCUCAUUUCUUUCCCUCAGAACACAGUUGUGGGAUCCUCUCUGUCAGCUGCUGUUGGGAGCUCCCUCAGCACUGGGGGGGUUCCCAUCUCUUCUGGGGGCUCCCUUGGUCUGGGGGGGUCAGGGCUGUGCCUGCCUCCCCCCCACUGCCGUCUGAACUGCUGAACCUGGUGCAUUGUCCCUUCUGGAGCAGGAAGAAUGAUGGGGACUGCACAGCAGGAGUGUGGCCAGGCCUUGCAGAUGGGCUGGGUGUCCUCAUGCCAGCUGGCAGGAGAGACCUGUGCCCACGGCUUCUGGCUGCACGUCAGGCCUCCCUGUGCCUCCUCUGGCUCUGCUUUGCUCUGAGCUCCUUGAGAAAGGGCUCGUUCUCUUCUGCUUUGCUGAACCUCCUGGUGCUGGGGGAGGGUGCUGGAGUUAGGGACUGCUCUUGCUGGUCUGGGAUGGCCAGCAGGUGGAGCAGAAUGGGGAAAGGCAAGUGCUUUGUGUUUCAAGCUUGUCCUUGGGCAAUGGGCUGUUCUCUGUCUUGCCCUGAACCCUGCAGAUGUGUUUCUUUGUCUCUGUUCUGUGCUAUUGCAUAUGCUCCUUCACUUUGUGCACAACAUUUAAUACUGCCCAACACAGCAUUCUAUUCUCUGAAAUGGAGAAACAAGAAUUUGAGAUGUGUACCACUCGUAUAAUAAUUGGCAGGACGGUCACACUCACAGAGUUGUGGUCAAUGUCUUGAGGUCCAGGUGGAGACCCGUGAUGAAUGGUGUCCCUCAGAGGUCCAUAUUUGAAUCAGUAUAUUUUAACACCUUUGUUGGGGAAAUGGACAGUGGGAAUGAGUGCACCCUCAACUGAGAUUGCGGUUGACACCAAGCUGAGUGAUACCAUGCAGAGGGACCUUGGCAGGCUAGAGUGGUGGGGUGUGCAAGGAUUAUUAAGUUCAACAAGGCCAAGUGCAAGGUCCUAACCCUGGGUCAGGACAAUCCCAAACAUGGAUACGGGCUGGGCCAUGAUGGGUUUGGGGCAACCCUGAAGAGGAGGACUUAGUAGUGCUGGUGGAUGAAAAAAACAGACACAAGCUGCCAUUGUGUUCUUGACGUCCAGAAAGCCAGUUUUAUCGUGGGCUGUGUCAGCAGCAGUGUGACCAGAAGGUCAAUGGAGGUGAUUGUCCCCCUGUACUCCACUUUCUCCGCUUUUGUGAGACCCCACUUUGAGUAACAGACCUACUUGAGUGGCUCCAAGGAGAACACAAAGAUUAUCAGGGGCCUGGAGCAGUUCUGCUAUGAGUAUAGGGUGAGAGAUUAAUGGCCGAGGAGAGGACAUGAGGAUAAAGAGGGGGGAGGAGAGGUGCAGAGAGGAGAGGAGAGGAGUUAAAUUUGGGAAGGAAUAUGGGAUCUAAUAUGCUACCCUAUAACUAACACCAGCCUUGGUUGUCUCCACAAUGUUGCCUAGUCUUCUUCCCUGGAAGCAGCCAAGAUGCUAUCUGGGAUGUGAAGUCAGCAUCAUCAUGGUGGUACAGAAAACUAAGCAAAAUACUCCAUAACACUGUUUCAAAGUGUUAAAAAUCAGGUAUUUUAUUGCAGUGCACCCGCUGCUCCAAGGAUUGUUCCUCUAAUCGAGCUCACCUGCAGGACUCACGCCUCUUGGUAUUAAUUGCACACAUUAAUUGCAUAUUCAUUUGUUUCUACCGCUAAGCUAAUAUAUUAAAUGUAGAUUAUUUACAUCAUCAA